rnacentral:tRNA from 2 species
UCCCCAGUAGCUCAGUUGGCCGAGAGCGCGCCUCUCAUACGGGCGAGGUCACUGGUUCAAAUCCAGUCUGGGGGACUA